rnacentral:rRNA from 1 species
UACGGAGGGGGCGAGCGUUGUCCGAAUUUACUGGGCGUAAAGGGCGCGUAGGCGGCCAGCACAAGUCAGUUGUGAAAUCUCCGAGCUUAACUCGGAAAGGUCAACUGAUACUGUGCGGCUAGAGUGCGGAAGGGGCAACUGGAAUUCUUGGUGUAGCGGUGAAAUGCGUAGAUAUCAAGAGGAACACCUGCGGCGAAGGCGGGUUGCUGGGCCGACACUGACGCUGAGGCGCGAAAGCCAGGGGAGCGAACGGG